GCGACACCCCUUUAGCGCUCCGAGCGCCACCACAGUCAAGUUACAGGGUUUCCAUGAUACCAACGGAGGUGGUGGCUGUUUGUGGCGGUGAGUGAGUUGCAACAAACGAUUUUCGAGAGGCGUAAACAGGUACUCUGCCGGGAACCGAUGGUCCGUUAAUGUGAAGUCUGCACCAGCAAACUGGUUGCGCCAAUUCAUGGGAUUCGCGUCGUUGAAAUGUUGAUGUUCGAUAUAAAGGACCAGGAGUUGAUAGCGAAAAUGGCGAUUGACAAGGCCGCUACAGCAGUUCCCACCCCAUGUGUCGUGUCCAGGGGGGCGACAUCUAU